rnacentral:rRNA from 1 species
ACGGAAGGCAGCAGUGGGGGAUAUUGCACAAUGGGGGAGACCCUGAUGCAGCGCCGCCGCGUGAGUGAAGAAGUAUUUCGGUAUGUAAAGCUCUUUAAGCUGGAAAGAUAAUGACGGUACCAGCAGAAUAAGCCCCGGCUAACUACGUGACAGCAGCCGCGGUAAUACGUAGGGGUCAAGCGUUAUCCGGAUUUACUGGGUGUAAAGGGAGCGUAGACGGCACAGCAAGUCUUAAGUGAAAUGUAGGGGCUUAACCCCUGAACUGCUUUGGAAACUGUUGGGCUUGAGUACCGGAGGGGCAGGCGGAAUGCCUGGUGUAGCGGUGAAAUGCGUAGAUAUCAGGAAGAACACCGGUGGCGAAGGCGGCCUGCUGGACGGUAACUGACGUUGAGGCUCGAAAGCGUGGGGAGCAAACAGGAUUAGAUACCCUGGUA